ensembl:misc_RNA
GAUGAGAAGAAGAACAAACCUCAUUCUUGUUCAGUCACAUUGACCAAUGAAAAGACUUCCGUCUUCUGGGCACGUGGUACAUCUGAUUUACGCUUACAGAACUGAAAGCACACAUCCAAGGAGGCUUCUCUUGGGAAGAGAGG